AACGAACGCUGGCGGCAGGCCUAACACAUGCAAGUCGAACGAAGGCCCAGAGCUUGCUCUGGAUACCUUAGUGGCGGACGGGUGAGUAACACGUGGGAACCUACCUAGCAGUAUGGAAUAACUGUGGGAAACCGCAGCUAAUACCGUAUACACCCUACGGGGGAAAGAUUUACCGCUGUUGGAUGGGCCCGCGCCUGAUUAGCUUGUUGGUGAGGUAAAAGCUCACCAAGGCUACGAUCAGUAGCUGGUCUGAGAGGAUGAUCAGCCACACUGGGACUGAGACACGGCCCAG
rnacentral:rRNA from 1 species